GGGAACAUAGGAAGUGGAGGUGAAUCUGUGGUCAUGCUAAGUCUCCGACUUGCUUGAUGACAGUGAAGCCUCAUCUAGAUUUUUUCUCUUUGAUAAUAUGUUGUCGCUGGUUGCCCCUACCGCCACAAUAUUGGUAUCAAAGGGAAUGAUAUCUCUAGAGACCUUUGAAAUCUAGAUAUGACCGCCUUGGGAAUUAUCACUAAAUGCCUUUUAGUUCCUCCCAUUUAGGUUCUUGAAAUAGGGGCACGAAGCGAACACGCUA
rnacentral:lncRNA from 1 species